UUGAGAAUCACCGAGAAGGCUGCAUCACGCGUGCACAGCUCUUGCGCUUUUCGUUUGCUCUUGCUCUUAUCUUAGUAAACUUUUGUGUUUGAGAAGCGCGUAGAAGGCUUUGUAAGCAGCAGUCUGGUGUGCUUGGUGUUUUACUCAACUGUGCGCCUAAAUAUGCCAAACAAUCGAUGAAAUUUCUUUGUAUUUAAAUAUGUUUUGUUUUUGUUUCUGUUUUCGUUCUAAAGCGCUCUACAUUUUGUUUUGUUUAGUUUUUGCCUAAAAAGUGAUUUUCAUAAAAUUUUGACUAAAAAUUUGUAUUAGCGUGUACUACUUGAAGCAGUACGUUGUGGCUUCUCAUUAUCGAUACAUAUUCAAAACCUGGCAACAUACAACAAAAAACUUAAUCAUAAAAACAAGCAAAUAAGAAAAAGAAAAAGAAAAUGACAAAAGGGGGAUCAACAAUAAUAAUAACCGAUGAAAUGUUGUGCUCUGUACUGGCUGCCGCUUAGAAUUGUAGCUGUGUGUGUGUAUGUGUGUGUAUGGUUGUGCGUGUGUGUGAACUUGUUGAAGUGUUUUCAAAUGGCGUCUUGAAAUUAAACAAGUUAACAAAACAUUGAAUAUAAGGCCCACGGUGCGGGGUGGGCGCGCGCGCGGGGAACCAAAGUAAGGAACUUUUGAUCACAACUUAAAGUCUAAUAAAAAAAAUAUAUUAAACUCAAAUAAACUUAGCAGCUAAACUUAUGGAAAUAAGGAAAUAUUUAAGAAAAUCAAGAAAUCAAUUGUACAAUCUAAAAUAUAUGUAUGUAUGCAUGUAUGUGUGUGUAGGUGUGUGUGUAUGUGCGAGUGUGUGUGUGUAUGCAUGAAUGAUGUCGGAGAAUGUAACACAAUGAAUGUAAAUGAUAUGCGAAAAAUGAACCAAGAAAUAACCCAAAAACGUCA